rnacentral:lncRNA from 1 species
UAUCUAAUAAUUUCUUACUUUUAUUUUUAACAUGUGGAUAAAGACAACUGAGAACAUAUUCUAAUUGGACUUAGGACACAAUGAGCCUUGUUUUAAAUAUGAGAGAAAAGAUGAUAUAUAUUAUAAUCAUAUUGUCCCUGCUGUUUGAAGAUCUUCUGAAUUUCAAUGAUAACAGGAUUGAUGGAAGGAUCUGCUGAUAACCUUAUUUACAACUAUUUCCAAGGCACAACAAGAGAUAGAAAGUCACAAGUGAAACUGUAGCUACUAUGAAGCUAUCUCAGAGGUUCAUCCAAGUUUCUUUGACACU